AUACGGAGGGUCCGAGCGUUAUCCGGAAUCAUUGGGUUUAAAGGGUCCGUAGGCGGGAAUCUAAGUCAGUGGUGAAAUCUUGCAGCUCAACUGUAAAAUUGCCAUUGAUACUGGAUUUCUUGAAUUAGUGUGAAGUGGUUAGAAUGUGUAGUGUAGCGGUGAAAUGCAUAGAUAUUACACAGAAUACCAAUUGCGAAGGCAGAUCACUAACACUAUAUUGACGCUGAGGGACGAAAGCGUGGGGAGCGAACAGGAUUAGAUACCCGAGUAGUCC
rnacentral:rRNA from 1 species